GUUGUGGGAGGUACCCGGUGGUUGGUAAUUGAAUCAUGAGAGCAGGUCUUCUCUAUGCUGUUCUCAUGAUAGUGAGUAAGUCUCAUGAGAUCUGAUGGUUUUAUAAAGAGGAGUUCCCCUGCACAAGCUCUCUCUCUUUGCCUGCCACCAUCCACGUUAAGAUGUGACUUGCUCCUCCUUCUGCCAUGGUUGAGAGGCACCCCCAGCUUAUGGAAUCGUAAGUGACACAAGCAGAAUCAACCUUUGGAAGAUCAUCUAUUUCCUGCUGGGUUGACUGGAAUGUGUGAUACGACCUAAGUAACUGACAGCCUGUGUGCAGAGUUCCUAAAUAACGAAGCCAGACCAUCAUUGCUAUGGGUGAAGCCAGGAAGUGACUGUGGAUGUGAACAAAUGUGAGAUUCAUGUACACGUCUCCAAAGACAGAGGCCACUGAUCUGGGGAGAACCUGCAGUCAUUUCACUUUCCCAUACCCAGAUGAGAGGACACCUUGAUCUGUGUUCAUCUGAUGAACUCUAAAAUCUGGACCAUAUUCUGAAGGUGUAGUUCACACUUCUUUUCUGUGCUAGUGGGACUCUCUCACUGACGUGUAUUGUACCCUCUGCAUAGGACAGUCUGUGAUACAUACUACUUGUUUUCUGCUAAACACCCAUCAAUCAUGUCAUUUAUGAGUCUUCCAUAGGUGUUACCUAACCUAUGGCUAUGGGGUCUUCCAAAAGAAUGGGCCAGAGGUGGAGCUGUGAAACUGUAGCUGGAUAAAAAGUGUAAAUGUCAAGAAAGGGUAUUGAAGUGGUGAUAAUAAUAAUAAUAAUCCAAAUUAGUCUGGGCUCUUGGCUGUGAUUACUGGUAAAUGUGAAAGAGUCUAGGUUUGGUUUUUAUUAGUUUUAUUUCAACUGAUAAAGUAGCCAGAGUAAAGUGCAUAAAUCUUGAAUGUUCAACUGAAUACAGUUUUUGUGUAAUUCAUUGUCCGAAUGGAAUGAUAGAAUAUUUCACAUUCCCUUGUGCUUCCCUCAUGGACAAUCUUUGUCAGUUAUCACCCCUCUCACCCAGC
rnacentral:lncRNA from 1 species